rnacentral:rRNA from 1 species
AUGAUGUGGUUUAAUUCGAUGCAACGCGAAAACCUUACCCACCUUUGACAUGGCAGGAAUCCUAAGAGAUUUGGGAGUGCUCGAAAGAGAACCUGCACACAGGUGCUGCAUGGCUGUCGUCAGCUCGUGUCGUGAGAUGUUGGGUUAAGUCCCGCAACGAGCGCAACCCUUGCCAUUAGUUGCUACGAAAGGGCACUCUAAUGGGACUGCCGGUGACAACCCGGAGGAAGGUGGGGAUGACGUCAAGUCCUCAUGGCCCUUAUAGGUGGGGCUACACACGUCAUACAAUGGCCGGUACAGAGGGUAGCCAACCCGCGAGGGGGAGCCAAUCCCACAAAGCCGGUCGUAGUCCGGAUCGCAGUCUGCAACUCGACUGCGUGAAGUCGGAAUCGCUAGUAAUCGCGGAUCAGCAUGUCGCGGUGAAUACGUUCCCGGGUCUU